UGGGGAAUUUUGGACAAUGGGCGAAAGCCUGAUCCAGCAAUGCCGCGUGUGUGAAGAAGGCCUUCGGGUUGUAAAGCACUUUUGUCCGGAAAGAAAUCCUUGGCUCUAAUACAGUCGGGGGAUGACGUACCGGAAGAAUAAGCACCGGCUAACUACGUGCCAGCAGCCGCGGUAAUACGUAGGGUGCAAGCGUUAAUCGGAAUUACUGGGCGUAAAGCGUGCGCAGGCGGUUUGCUAAGACCGAUGUGAAAUCCCCGGGCUCAACCUGGGAACUGCAUUGGUGACUGGCAGGCUAGAGUAUGGCAGAGGGGGGUAGAAUUCCACGUNUAGCAGUGAAAGUGCGUAGAGAUGUGGAGGAAUACCGAUGGCGAAGGCAGCCCCCUGGGCCAAAUACUGACGCUCAUGCACGAAAGCGU
rnacentral:rRNA from 1 species